rnacentral:lncRNA from 1 species
GAACCCACCAGGGCAGAGCCUCAGCUCUCAGCCUCCCGGAAUGAACCAUGAACCCAAAGCAAAGAGCAGAACUCCUUUGACACCUCCAGCUUCACAGACAAAGAUGAAUCUCCUAAGGCAUUUCUGAAACAUGCAGUUCUGAAGUCUGGCCAGCCACACCAAAGAGCUUUUCGCAAGAAGGCACAGGCCAGGUAGAGGCAGCUGUGCAGUGGGAGGACUGUGAUGUUUUGGACUAGAAAAUAAGACGCAAAUGAGGCCAAAAAAACACAGGCACUGCAUAAAGGUGUCUUCUCCCCACUUUAUAAGCCUUAUGUGUGAUAAUAUUCAAUGCCACAGCAAGGCAAGCAAAUAGGUCCUUGGAGGGAGGGAUAGCUGGAUUUUAAUCCUGGCUCUACACUAAGGUCUUGGACUACUUACUGCAGGUCUCUGAGCUUCAUAGUUUUAUGUAUAAAAUAGGAUGAAGACCAUCCCCAAAUCCACUUCGAUGGUGAGAAUUAGGUGACAUGACAGCAGAAGGGCAUUUAGAGUUUGGCACAGAAGGGAUCUCAACAAAUGGUAGCUGUGUUUCAUCGUUCAUUUGAGAACUGAUGUUUGGAUCCUUUUCUGCAUCUUGAAAUGUCCCAAAAUAUUCCUCCUUAAGCCCUGCAGUUGGAUACUCAUUGAUACUUCUCUGUUCAAUUUAUACUGCGAGCAGGGGAGGGAGGCUUGAGCUUGGUUCCAUGAACGAGGUUGAAGGGUGUAAGUCUCCCAGCUUCAUUUCUGUCUCCUCCUCACCUGGGGAGCCAUGGCCAAUUCUCUUCCCAGGUCACUUGACUUCUCCAUGACCAUGACUUUCACCUUCUGCAUUUUGGAACAAUAUACUCAUGAAUGCUAAGAAGCUUUUGUUUCUUUCUGCCUGUGCUGAGCCUGUCUACUAUAAAAGAAAAAUCACAAUGGUUGUCAUAGUUAUGCUCUUUGCUUCCUGAGUGGAAUAGCACCGGUUUUUAUGUUACAUUAUACUAUAUUCUGGAUCUCUCUUUGAUGGUGGGUUAUGGAGAAGGUUUGCCAAUUCUUUCUUUUACAAUUCUUUUUAAAUAAAUCCUCAGAAUUAAGGCCAUUUUAUUAUCUUCUUUUACUUUUAAAUACACACACACACACACACACACACACACACAUAUACAUAAAAUGCUCACCAACUUUAAAAAAACAUAUUUAAACACCUGGAGUCUGCCAUAUAGUGGUAUUGGGAAAGAAUCCAGAAGAAAUUGAGGCCACGGGAAUAUUUUAAAAGGC